rnacentral:snRNA from 1 species
GAAACCAAACGCCAAGGAAACUA